rnacentral:lncRNA from 1 species
CUUGUUUGUUCUCACCUGGGUGUGCACUCUCAUGAUGCGGUGGCUGCAGCACCUUCAUGCCAGGUGCUGAGAGAGUGGGAAAUUCUUCCUCCCCACUGGCCUGAGUCCCAGAGACUUAGGGAAACAGACCUCAAGUGAGGCUGGGGACCUACGAAGCGGUGGAUAAUAGAUUGGAUAAUCAGAGCUUUUGAGGCAGGGGGCUCAUGGUUUCACUGCAGGGAGUUAUGCUGAGCAAAGAGAUGUGUUUUUCAAAACCAGAGUAUUGCCCGUGUCCACACUGGAGUAAGUGGAGCAUGCUCCUCUGUGUUCCCUGAAUGAUCUUGCACUCCUUUUAAGCAAAGGAGUACCAUGGCCAUGGUCAGUGGGAUCCCACAAAUGUUCUUAAAUGGGUAAGGUUUUAAGUAGCCAGAGAGUAUCCAGCCUACCACUGGCUUCUCCACAUCCUAAAACCUGAGACAGCCUUGGUAUAUGCUUUGUAAAUGUUUCUUUUCUUGUUGUUUAAGUAAUUAAAGUGUUUAAAAUGUCUUCAUUAGAUGUGACGAUUGUUUAAUGAGUUUGCCUCUGACUUGUGGCUCCAUGGGAGAUAGGCAAAGUAAUUAAGAAGUUACCAGAAAUUGGUCGGCUGGGGAAAUGCAAAAGUUAGCAUUUCAGUAAGUGAAUUUCUCCUGGAACAAACGAGCAAUUUUUCCUCUUUCUCUUAAGUAGUAUACCCUUUUCUCACUUAGUAAUUUAAUGGUAUAUAAAGACAUGUGUAUAAGUGAGUGCAUACAUAUGAGGUAUGACUAUAGGGUUGUUUGUGGGAAUUUCUUUUCUUAACAUACAGAAGAUCAAAGUGUUUCAUCUCACCCCGCCCUCCUUAAAAGGUGUCUUUUGGGAGACUAUGUGCUGAUUGACUAUAGUGCUGCCAAGUAAAAAGAUCUUGGGAACUCUUCUACCAGAACGGCCUUCGGGGCUUGUAACGUUCCUUUGGUUUCCCCUUAGAGAUGAGAAAUCCUCCUCCUUUGAGGAUGGAUUUAAGUUCUGGAAAUAAUCUCAAGUACUUGAUAGCACAGUUGGAUGAAUAAAGAUGGCAAUUAAGGUAAGUUACACCAUUUUUGUCUCUAAAAAAAAUCCCUAAGAAUUUUCUUGGAAUGAGUUUUUAGACUCAGAGCCUCUCAAAGUGUCCGCUUCAAGGGAGGACCGUCCUCAUUAGCACACCGAUUUUAAAAAUCAAUUCUCUGGCCAUGCCUCCUAUGUGUUCACAUCUCUGCAUACACUACAGACGUAAGUGCAUAAUCAUUCAUAUAAACAUCUGGUAGGUAUUCUGUAAAACUGUGUUUACUUUAGUGCAUGUUAUUGUCAUGUUACGAUGUGACUGGGGUGUUUCUUUGUCAUGAAACUUUGCUUCUUCACAGAAUUAGAAUACUGCUCCCUCUAUAUUGAAGUACAUAUACAGCAUUUUCUUAUAUCAGCUCCCAAAGUCUGGAUGCCCGGUGUUGUGUUUACAUGUGAUUGUGCCUAGGAGUCUGUUCACAUAGAGACACCUGUAAGUAUUUAUUACAAAACGGAAUGUAAGCAAAUAUAUCCACAUUGGUUUUAUUUGAAUCAAAGUUUUGUUUUGUUUUGUUUUGUUCCUUUUGAGGAGGAACAGGGAGCCUCCUCCUCCAUGAGCACUUACAGAAUUGUGUAAAAUUCUGUGAAACAAGGGCGAGCGUGGGCACCGGUUUCAGCCGUCCCAGUGCCGCUGCCCUCCCACCUACUCUGUGUGUGUGUGUGUCGCUGUGCUUGGUGGCAGUGUGCCGUGCUCGUGCCGGGCUCUUCCCAGCAGACGCUGGUAUCCGGCUGUAACGUUUGGCAUCUUCGUUUUGCCAGUCUGUGUUAAGGGGUGGUGUACGUGGCCGUACAGCCAGAUGGGUCUGUGUACCAGUGUGGGGAGUCCAAGAACACUGCCUGUCCCCCACAGCAAAUAUUGAUGCUGUUGGUCAGCCAAAGAUUUUCCUCUUCUUUGCUGCUUAAACUUGUGCCUUAAUAUUGUACAUAAUAAAUGGAUGAAAUGG